rnacentral:rRNA from 1 species
GUGUCAGCCGCCGCGGUAAUACGUAGGGGCAAGCGUUAUCCGGAUUUACUGGGUGUAAAGGGAGCGUAGACGGUUCUGCAAGUCUGGAGUGAAAGCCCGGGGCUCAACCCCGGGACGUGCUUGGAAAUACUGUGGAACUAGAGUGCAGGAGAGGUAAGUGGAAUUCCUAGUGUAGCGGUGAAAUGCGUAGAUAUUAGGAGGAACACCAGUGGCGAAGGCGGCUUACUGGACUGUAACUGACGUUGAGGCUCGAAAGCGUGGGGAGCAAACAGGAUUAGAUACCCUGGUAGCUCACGCCGUAAACGAUGAAAUACUAGGUGUUGGGAGGCAAAGCAUCUUCGGUGCCGCCGCUAACGCAAUAAGUAUUCCACCUGGGA